GACGCUUCAGUGGCUUAGUGGUUAGAGCGUCCGCCUCGGAUGCUAAAGGUCGCGUUUUCGAACCACAACUGAGUCA